GACGAACGCUGGCGGCGUGCCUAAUACAUGCAAGUCGAGCGAAUCAAUAGGAGCUUGCUCCUGUUGGUUAGCGGCGGACGGGUGAGUAACACGUGGGCAACCUGCCUGUAAGACUGGGAUAACACCGGGAAACCGGUGCUAAUACCGGAUAAUCCUUCUCCUCUCAUGAGGAAAAGCUGAAAGUCGGUUUCGACUGACACUUACAGAUGGGCCCGCGGCGCAUUAGCUAGUUGGUGAGGUAAUGGGUCACCAAGGCGGCGAUGCGUAGCCGACCUGAGAGGGUGGUCGGCCACACGGGGACUGAGAGCCGGCCCAGACUCCGACGGGAGGCAGCAGGAGGGAAUCUUCCACAAUGGACGAAAGUCUGAUGGAGCAACGCCGCGUGAGCGAUGAAGGCCUUAGGGUCGUAAAGCUCUGUUGUUAGGGAAGAACAAGUACCGGAGUAACUGCCGGUACCUUGACGGUACCUAACCAGAAAGCCACGGCUAACUACGUGCCAGCAGCCGCAGUAA
rnacentral:rRNA from 1 species